GCACGAAUUACUUCUCUUGAGUUGACUAAAGCUGGUUCAGUAUAUCACUAAAUCUGGUUGGAUAUGUAAGGAAACUGUGACCAACUUGAAGCAAACACAACCUCAAGUGGCAGAAUCAGCAGUGUGGUUGGAGGCCACUGGUGGUUUGAGGAAAGGGG